rnacentral:rRNA from 1 species
UACAGAGGGUGCAAGCGUUGUUCGGAAUUAUUGGGCGUAAAGCGCGUGUAGGCGGCUUUGCAAGUCGGGUGUGAAAGCCCUCAGCUUAACUGAGGAAGUGCGCCCGAAACUGCUUGGCUUGAGUACCGGAGAGGAUGGCGGAAUUCCCCAAGUAGAGGUGAAAUUCGUAGAUAUGGGGAGGAACACCGGUGGCGAAGGCGGCCCCCUGGUUGGAUACUGACGCUGAGACGCGAAAGCGUGGGGAGCAAACAGG